rnacentral:rRNA from 1 species
GAUAACGCUAGCGGCAGGCCUAACACAUGCAAGUCGAGGGAGAAGCUCUUCGGGGCAGAAACCGGCGCACGGGUGCGUAACGCGUAUGCAACCUACCUUUCACAGGGGGAUAGCCCGAAGAAAUUUGGAUUAAUACCCCAUAAUAUUAUUGGAUGGCAUCAUUUGAUAAUUAAAAUUACGAUGGUGAAAGAUGGGCAUGCGUCCUAUUAGCUAGUUGGAGUGGUAACGGCACCCCAAGGCUACGAUAGGUAGGGGUCCUGAGAGGGAGAUCCCCCACACUGGUACUGAGACAGGGACCAGACUCCUACGGGAGGCAGCAGUGAGGAAUAUUGGUCAAUGGUCGGAAGACUGAACCAGCCAUGCCGCGUGCAGGAAGAAUGCCUUAUGGGUUGUAAACUGCUUUUAUAUGGGAAGAAUAAGGAGUACGUGUACUUUGAUGACGGUACCAUAUGGAU